rnacentral:rRNA from 1 species
CGCUAUCACUCCUACGGGAGGCAGCAGUGGGGAAUAUUGCACAAUGGGGGAAACCCUGAUGCAGCCAUGCCGCGUGUGUGAAGAAGGCCUUCGAGUUGUAAAGCACUUUCAGUAGGGAGGAAGGUAGUGUAGUUAACACCUGCAUUAUUUGACGUUACCUACAGAAGAAGCACCGGCUAACUCCGUGCCAGCAGCCGCGGUAAUACGGAGGGUGCGAGCGUUAAUCGGAAUUACUGGGCGUAAAGCGCAUGCAGGCGGCCUGUUAAGUCAGAUGUGAAAGCCCGGGGCUUAACCUCGGAAUUGCAUUUGAAACUGGCAGGCUAGAGUCUUGUAGAGGGGGUAGAAUUUCAGGUGUAGCGGUGAAAUGCGUAGAGAUCUGAAGGAAUACCAGUGGCGAAGGCGGCCCCCUGGACAAAGACUGACGCUCAGAUGCGAAAGCGUGGGGAGCAAACAGGAUUAGAUACCCUGGUAG